rnacentral:rRNA from 1 species
GAUGAACGCUGGCGGCGUGCCUAACACAUGCAAGUCGAACGGAGAUUACGGGCUGUAGUUUUGGGCUGGAAGAGCGUAAUUCUUAGUAGCGGGUGAGUGAGCUACGCGUGGGCAUGCUGUAACAUCAAGAGGGUUAGGCUCAGGACAGGGAUGGGCAGAUGCCGUAUGUUGGGGGGAGGGAAUGGUCUUGGGGGGAGGUUAGCCAUCAGGUUUAGGAUGGUGCCGGGGCCGAAUAGGCUGAUGGAAGGGUAAAAGCCUAGCAAGGCAACGAUCGGUAGCCGGACUGAGAGGGCGGACGGCCACAUGGGGACUGAGACACGGCCCAAACUCCUACGGGAGGCAGCAGUGGGGGAUAUUGCACAAUGGAGGAAACUCUGAUGCAGCGACGCCGCGUGAGUGAAGAAGUAUUUCGGUAUGUAAAGCUCUAUCAGCAGGGAAGAUGAUGACGGUACCUGACUAAGAAGCCCCGGCUAACUACGUG